UACAGAGGUCUCAAGCGUUGUUCGGAUUCAUUGGGCGUAAAGAGCUCGUAGGCGGUUUGUUGCGUCGGCCGUGAAAACCUGCAGCUUAACUGUGGGCCUGCGGUCGAUACGGGCAGACUUGAGUUCGGUAGGGGAGACUGGAAUUCCUGGUGUAGCGGUGAAAUGCGCAGAUAUCAGGAGGAACACCGGUGGCGAAGGCGGGUCUCUGGGCCGAUACUGACGCUGAGGAGCGAAAGCGUGGGGAGCGAACAGG
rnacentral:rRNA from 1 species